AGUGGACGAUGAACGCAAACUUCGUACCUUUUAUGAGAAGCGUAUGGCCACAGAAGUUGCUGCUGAUGCUCUGGGUGAAGAAUGGAAGGGUUAUGUGGUCCGAAUCAGUGGUGGCAAUGA